ACAAUGAUCUGGGAAGGGCAACUAGCCAUAGGCACUGCUAUUUGGUUCAGAGAAGCACCAAUUAAUUCGACUGCUCUCUGAUCCACUUGAAGAACUCAGCUGGAAAUCAAACAAAGCCAACCUAAAAAAAAAAGUCUAACACUAGAGAAUUAGAGUUUGUCAAAGGUGUUAAAAAUAAAAUGAGUGUGAAUGUCCUACAAGGUUUAUGAGAAAGUUCAGAAGGAAAGUAAAGAAAGACUAAGCAGCAAGACUUUUAGGUAAGAGUAAUAAUAACAACAAUAUGAAAAAUGAAAGCUUUCAUCCCCAUCCUCAUUGGUUCUCACUCUUCCUCUUGGAAAUCAAAUUUGCAUGUGACUUAUAUUUUAAUAAGAAUGGCUGUUACAAAAUUUCACAUUCAUAUUUUGAGUAAAAAGAUUGGUGGAAUUAAAAACUAAUUUAAAAACUGAUUUUUGAAUAUUUAACAAAAUCCUAAGAAUCUCUCCAUUUCCUAAAUGCCUUUCAAAGAUAAUGCCAUAUAUAUGACCCCUCUCUCAUGCUAUUAGAAAUGUACAUAUGGCAAUGUCACACAUUAACAGUUGUACCCUAAGGCCACUUCCUAGAAAUUAAAUUAUUUUCCUCAUCAGACACAAUGUUGUGUUUCUUCCAAACUCCAAGUGAUUCCUGAGAGUAGGAUAAAGUUCUACAGUGUUGCUGGUCUUCUAGAAGCUCGGGUAUUUCUACUCUGUAGCACGGACAGGAAAUCCAAACACAAAGAAAGAAGAUGAACGGUAUUGUGAUCUCACUGAGUUUGGGAAACAGAUUAUAGUUGAGGGAAGCUGAGGUGGCUAGAAUUUGCAGAUCACAGUACCAACCAACUGAAGUGAAGCUGGGAACAUGUUUCAGAAAUCUGCAUGAAGUAAACUUGAGUCUUCUGUUGAAUACUAGGCUGAGCAUUGGGAAGGAGAAUUUCCACAAGGCCAGACAAUGAAAACCUAUGAGGAGCUAUAACCAAAGAAAUACCUGAAGGUCACAAAGGGUUGGUAGACAUUUUAGUUCCAACUAAGCAGACUGGGGGAAACAUAUUGAAAAUCAAUGCAGAUUCAAUAGAACCUGCAGAAAAUUUAUAUCUUCAGAGUAAAGCUAAACUAACCAAAAAGGAAAAUCUAUGUCUUCCAAACAAACAUCAAAAACAAGAGUUUGAAAGGCUGAAGCUGAUCCACAGGUAACUUAACUGGCUGUCAAAACAAAAAUCAACACAUUUUAAAGGACGAUUAUACCAUCCAGGCAUUCAAUAGCUAACAUUCACCAAGUCCAGCUCUCAAUAAAUUAGAAAAAGAUAUACAGAAAACUUCAAGUAUUUAGAAAUUUAGCAACAUAUCUUGAAUAACUCACUCAUAAUGAAAUGCCUCACCAAAUAAGCAGUAUAGUGAACUUUUCUUAGUGUGAUGAAGGGAAACAAAUAAAAACCUACAGCUAACAUAUACAUAAUUGAAUGACAUAACACUUUUCCCCUGUGAUUAUGAAAAAGUCUACUAUAAUCCCUUUCACAACCUCAAUUCAACAUUAGAGAAGAUGCCACAGCACACACAAUAAGGGGGAAAAAAUACAAGGCAUAAAUCUUAGAAAGAACGAGAAAAUCCCUCUGUUAAUUCACAAAAAAAAAACAAGAUCAUGGUUACAGGUUAGGUUUCCUGAGAAGCAGAUCCUUAGAUGGAUUUUAGUAUGCAGAAACUUUUUUGAGGAAACAGCUCUCAAAUCAAUAUCUAUGAAGGGGAGUUCCAGGAAACAGCACUGGGUUGGAGGAUAAACCAUCCUGAGAUUAAAAAAUCAAGAAAGACUUAAGUAAACCCAUGGGAUCUGCAGAGUUAAAAUGCCAUUUUAUUAGUUAUGAUGAGGUGGCCAAACUUUUAUACUGCCCCAGGAAGAAGUCUACCUUUAAGCAAAUUGGACUGACUUCAGCUGAGGCAAUGCCUGAAAGAACUUGCCUGACUUGGCCAUCUGACUGCCAAGAGCAUUCCUAACACCUAGGUAGGAAGUCUUUCAUUGAAGAAUUCUAUGGCAGCAAUACACAGUGUCCACAGAUUAAGUAUAGAACAUCCAAAAUGAUGUACAGAAAAAGAUUACUAGAACUAUUGAACAUGAGCUUAGCUAAGUCAAGUGAUACAUGAUUUAUAUAUAGCCAUCAACUGUUUUGCUAUAUACUAGCAAUGAACAAUUUAGAAAGUAAAAUGUAAAAUAUAAUCCAAAAUGCUAUUUAGAAUUAGGAAACAUUUAGGUAUUUAUUUAGAAAAGUGUAUGUAAAAUACCUACACAGAAAGCUAUACAUUUUUUGCUAGAAACCGAUAAAGAACUACUAAAUGUAGAAAUAUAUCAUGUAUACAGAUGGAAAAUCUCAAUAAUAUUUUCAGUUUUUUUUUCCAGAUGAUCUAUAGAUUCAAUGCAACCCCAGUCAAAAUCCAGGCAGACUUUAUUUUUCUUUUACAUUUGACAAAUGAUUCUAAAAUUUGUACAGCAAAGGAAACAAUAUAAAAUAGCCAAAACACUUCUGGAAAAACAAAUGGGAAGACUGGCGUUGCCUGAUUUAAACACUUAGUCUAAGACUAGAGUAAUCAAGAGAGUUAGGUCUUGGCAUAAGAAGAUACAUGUAGAUAGAUUAAAUGUAUAGAGUUCAGAAAAAGAUCCACAUAUAUAUGGUAGUUGAUUAUUUUUUUAGCAAAAAUACUAGCAUAAAAAUGGAGAAAUGAUCAUCAACUUUACAAGUAAUGCUGUAAAUACUGGAUGUAUUUGUGCGGAAAAUUAAUCUCAACCUUUACCUCAUAAUAUAUAAAUUGAAAUGAAUUAUAGACCUAAACACAAAGGCAAAAACUGUAAAAUUUCUAGGUGAAAUUAUAAGAGAAAAUCUUGUUGUCCUUUAGUUUGGUAAACAUCUCUUAGGUGGAAGACAACAAAUAAAAACCUAAAAUAACACCUCGUCAAGUUAGACAUCAACAAAAUUUAAAACUUCUGUUUUGUAAAAGACUCCGUGGACACAGAAAAAAAAAAAAAAAAAGACAAGCCAGAGACUGGGAGAAAUUAUUUUCAACGUAUGUAUAUUACAUUGUACUUAUAUUCAGAUUAUAUAAAUAACUUCAACUCAAUAAUAAGAAGACAAUGCAACAUUUAUAAAUGUGCAAACAACUUGAAUAAAUACUUCACAAUAGAAGAUUUUCAAAUGUCCAACAAGCAUAUGAAAACAUGCUUAGUAAUAUAUGCCAUCAGGAAACUAUAAAUAAAAACCACAAUGAGAUACCAGUAUACACCAAACAGAUUGAUCCAGGUGUCCAAAUUGAGAGUAAGUAUAUUUAAAAAUUUAGAGUACCUUGUACACUGACAAAGUAAUUUUAUGUUGACUGAAUCUAAUAUUAACAAGAUAGAACUUGUUUCUUUCAUGUCUUUGUGGGUAUUUUCCACUUAUAUUUAAUAAUUUAUUUUCAUUGUAAUUCAGAAAAGUAUAAAUUUCUGAGAGUUUAGAAAUUUUUUAAGUGGUCCCUUACCACAGAUAUUUUCAGAAACCUUGUUCUAAGGAAUUGAAAUAAGGUACUUAGCCCACACAGUACACUAGCAAGAUGACCCCAGCAGUAAUAGCCGGGAAGCUAAAGAAAUGUACUCUGUAUAGACCUGGCUCAGUAUUUAACAUCCCAAUCCCCACUGGAUUUCCAAUGAAGACAGAAACCACAAACUAUUGCUUUAACUAUCAUGUUGUUCCCCCAUCCGUAUGUUAAUACACUUUGUGCACAUCAUGACAGGUGAAAAGACUGCAUAAAAUGUGUAUAUCUAAUUCCCUGUGAGAGGAAGUUUAGAAACAGAAAAUAUGGCUAACCUUUGCAUGAUGCAAAUAUGAAGACCAAAUUUCAUCCUGAUAUUCCAGAUGGCCACAACUUUACAAAGCUUAAUACACAGUCCUUUUUUUUCCUUAUAAACUGCUAAAAUAGUAUACUUGUUGCUUAGCUUUAAAAUGCAUAAUGUCUGCUUUGUGUGCUGUGAUAAUAGGACUUUAAUAACUGAACAAAGAGCAACAUAAACCAAAAUAAUGCAUUAAUUAUAAAGUGUGGACUUUUUAGCCAAAAAGGACUGUGAAUUUAGAAUCUGUACGCUUGUUUCAUUUCAAUGCAAAGCCAAAAUAAAUCUACUUGUUGGACUAUAGUUUCAUUUACUAGAUGUUUUUUAGUGAAGGAACAGCACCAAUUUUACACAGACAUACACAAUUUGACUGCAGUGUGCUCUGCUAGCAUAUGUUAGACUUAAUGGAGUAUGUGAUAAAUGUUAUUUAUAUAUUUUUCUUUUUAUUGCAUGUAGAGUAAAAUAGCACAGAAAACCAAUGAGACAUAGAGAAUUAUUUUAUCCCCAAUUGAUUUUCUUAAAUGAUCAAUAAUGAUUAGACAAAAUGAAGUCUAAUAAUUAUAUAGAAUAAAUAAGUUCACAUAAGGAUUUCGCCUUUAAAUUUUCUUUGCAGCCUAAAUUCUUAGCACAGAAAGAUGUGAAAGACAAUGUAUUUUUUUUCAUGUCUAGCAGAGACUCAUCAGAUUUAGGAGAUUAUGUUUAUAGAGCUAUCUUGAAAACUUUCCCACUAUCAUGGAAAACUUAAAUCUAUAUUAAAAAAACUUUUGUAAGCCUUGCUUUGCAAAUAGAAUCUGGAAAGGAAAUAAAUCUGUAAAAACUUUGUGAUUCUUUCCCCUACAUCCCCCCAGCACGAAAUAAAUUUCAUCUGUCAGUGCAGUAGUAAAAAUUUUUUUGAAGAGUCAGACAUAUGGGCUAACUUUAAAAUAGAGUUUUUGUUCUUCUAUGUUAGUGACUAUUUUCCCUAUAAAGCAUUAGUUGCAGAAUCUAAUAUUCCUUGCAAAUAUUUGAUUGAAAAUUCAUACCUAUUAGCAAAAACCAGAAUUACUUUUGGAGCAACCUAAUAUAAAGUGGUAAAAUAUUUAUAUGAAAUUAAACUUUCUGGAAAAAAUCUAAACCAAUAUAUGUGGGUAAAGUGUUAGUUUUCUGCACGUAUUUGUUAAUACUACUUUGCAAUGGGGGCUGUAUUUGGCCAACAUACUGUUGUAUUAAUCUUUUGAAUAAUAAAUCUAUCUAUGAAGCAUUAAAAUUUAUUUCUUGAUUACAGAAUUUUGGGUUUCCUUCAUUAAGAUAUCAUGCAACACUAAAGUAUUGAAUUAAAUCUGUAACUCAAAUAUCUUUAAUUGUUUACACACAAUAUUUUACUCUGUGGAAGAUUCCAGUGUAAUGUUAAUAAUCAGCCACCAUGCUUCCCUUGUCACCCCUAUUCUCUUCUAUAAAAAAAACAUAUGCUUUGCUACACAGAAUUGUUGACAGAAUUAAAUGAUCUUGAAAAGCACUGUUCAUAAUAAAUGCUGCAUAAGUGUUUGUUUGUAUUAUUAUUAUAUCACCUUUCAGGCCAUAAAGGAAAUUCUUGGAUUAAUUAUAUUCCUAUUCAGUCUUUAUAAAAUUGUCAAGCUCUUUUUUUUAAGUUUCCAUAAAUCUUGAAUCCAUGUUUUAGUUCUCUGAACUAUUGUGGCUUCUUUGAAGGUGUCUUGCUAGUUUAGUCUCAGUUACCCUUGUUCUGUUUUUAUUCCUCUGUUUUUACUAUUUUGAGAGUUCUUAGUGAAAAAACUCCUUAUAUUCAUGUACAGUAAUUCACUUUCUUGAACAAUUACAUAUAGAAUAAAAUCUGCUGUAGUUUGAAUGUUUUUGUCUUCCUUAAAAUUCAUGUGUCAGAAAGUUAAUUCCUAAUGCAACAGCAUUAGAAUUUGUGGCAUAAGGAUAAGAGUUCAGGUCACAAGGGCUCUGACCUCAUGAAUGGAAGAAUGCCAUGAUAAAAUGGGCUUGUGGCUGGAUGCAGUGGGUCAUGUCUAUAAUCCAAGCUCUUUGGGAGACCCAGUCAGGUGGAUAGGCUGAGCCUGGGAGUUCGAGACCAGCCUGGCUGACAUAGCAAAAGCCAGUCUCUAGCAAAAACAAACAAACAAACAAAUUAGACAUUUUUUGGUAGUCAUUGCUUGUAGUUCCAGUUAUUUGGGAGGCUGAGGUGGGAGGAUCACUUGAGCAGGGAAGUGGAGGUCGCAGGGAGAAGAGAUUGUGCCACUGCACUCCAACCUCUAGGGUGACAGAGUGAGACCUUGUCUCAAAAACAAACAAACAGAGCAAAAAUGGGCUUGCAAGAGUGGAUUCAUUGAUCUUUCCCUUCUUCUAUGUGAGGAACAGUAUUGCUGCAUCCUGGAGAAGGCAGCACUUGAGCCACCAUCUUGGAAGUGAAGAUCAGGCCCUCAGCAGACACAAAACCUGCCAGUGCCAUGAUCUUGGAUUUUUCAACCUGCAGGACUAGAGGUUUUCAGAGUUGGGAGGAGAUUUUGUUUUUAUUUUUAUUAACAAUUUUGGCAACAGAGAUAGAAUGAGUUUUCCAUUUUCUGAAUUGAGUGGUCCAGCUGAAGGUCUUGUGGGCACACAACACUCAGAAACCCUGAAACUUAAAGACAAUAGGAUCUGGAAGGACACGCCAGUGGAAAUUGGCUAUCUCUGUGGACCAGGAAAUUUCAUCUACAAAAAGGUAUUCCAGAAAGAAAAUGCAGUCACCAUGUUGGGAAGAAGGCUUUCAAGUGCUACUGAUCACUCGUUUGGCUAUCAGAGGUUAAAACAAAAUAAAACAAAAACCAAAACCAAAACAAAAGAGAAACAGCUCAGCUGGAGUCAUGCUUCCCACGUGGACACAGCACCCGGGGAAGACUUGACUGUGGUUCUCACAAGGCCUUGAAAUUUAAGUUUUCAAGAGUAACUGAUCUUCGUAUUGAAUUCAGAUAAAGAGGUAAUCUAGAGAAUAUAUUACAUUUUAGAUGGUCUUGCUGUCUUAUUUCCAGUAGGUUUAUUUUGACUACUUUAAGAAUUAUAUUUUACUAGGAAUCAAAAGUUAUUUGCUACAUGACCUUUUCUUUCUGUACUCCCAGUAAUGGUUCUCACAAUCCCCUUUCCAGUUAGCUCAAAUUGUCCUCCCAGCAGAAACAGGACCUGGAAUUGUAUAACCAACAGUUUUAUUAUUGAAAGAGUAAAGGUGAGACCAUCUUCAUUAUAAUUGUUGAUAACAAAAUAAAACUAAUAUACAUCCAAGUACUCAAGCCUGGCUGUGGUUUGAAUGUGUCCCCAAAUUCCAUGUGUCAGAAAUUUAAUUCCCAAAUUUAUGUGUUGUUGCUAUUUGGAGGUAGGGCCUUUGGGAUUUAGUGAUAGAUGAUGUCAUAAGAGUAGGGCCCCCGUGAUGAGAUUAGUGGCCUUAUAAGAAAGGGAGGAGAAAUAUGAGCCAUAUGGUGCUUUCUGCCAUGUUAUGAUGACCUCACCAGCACGAUGACUUCACCAGAUGUAGCUCCUCAACCUUAGACUUCCCAGUCUCCAGAAAUGUAAGAAAUAGUUUUCUUCAUAAAUUACCCCAUCUUAGUAUUCUGCUAUCUCAACACACAAUGGACUAGGACAAGCCCUACUUGUAAAACAAACAAACAAAAACAAUUAAUUGGCUUAAUCGAAAACAUAAACAUUCCAGCUAAUAGAAAAAUAGAAACUUGGCAUUGUAAGAUAGAGACUACAAAAAACAGGUCUACUGUUACUUAGUUAACUUUGUGAUGUAACUUCUCUCCCAUCUAAGUAUAAAUUGAUACAUGAAACUGAAUUUCUAUCAUUCAUGAAUAUUUUGUUGACUAUUAUAACAUAGAGCUAUUGGUUUAGAUCCCAUUCUGGAAAAAAAAAUAUGCAUAGGCUAGGUUUGUCUUCAAGACUUAAAAUAAUAAUAGUUAUAUACAUUAAACCCUCAAAGUUUAAUAUGUGCCUUUCAGUUUGUACCUUAUAAUAAGACUUUUUGUUUGUUUGUUUUUGUUUUUGAGACAGAGUCUUGCUCUUGUCACCCAGGUUGGAGUGCAAUGGCAUGAUCUCAGUUCACUGCAACCUCUGCCUCCCAGGUUCCAGCGAUACUCCUGCCUCAGCCUCCCAAGUAGGUGGGAUUACAGGCCCCUGCCACCAUGCUCAGCUAAUUUUUCUAUUUUUAGUAGAGACGGGGUUUCACAGUGUUGGCCAGGCUGGUCUCGAACUCCUGACCUCAUCAUCCACCCGCCUUGGCCUCCAAAAGUGCUGGGAUUACAGGCGUGAGCCACUGCGCCCGGCCAAGACUUUUAUAUUAGAUGAUGACCAUGGAUGUUACUGAAUUGCAAAACUGAGAAAAGCUAUUUAGGAAGAUUGAAUAAUUACUAAAAGGCCUAUGUAGUCAUGUGCUGCAUCACAACAUUUUGUUUAACAAUGGAUCAUAUUACAAUGGUGGUCUCAUAAGAUUAUAAUGUAUUUUUCAUGUACUUUUUCUAUAUUUAGAUAUGGUUAGAUACACAAAUACCAUUGUGUUAUAGUUGCCUACAGUAUCUGGUAACAUGUACAGCUUUGUAGCCUAGGAGCAAUAGGCUAUACCAUAUAGCCUAUGUGCUGUAAGAACAUCCAAGUUUAUGUAAGUACAUUACAUCCUAUGAUGAUCUCACAACAAUGAAAAGGUGUAUGUAAUAGGUUGUGUCUGUUUGGCUAUAUAAAAGGGUGAGAUUCCUUUCUGUCUGCAUUCUCUUUAGUGGAUUGCCUGUGAUGUGCAUCACAUCCUGGUUUCAUGCUUAUUCAAUAAUAAAAUUGCUUUUUUUCUCUUUUACCCCUGUAGAGAGGUUUUCAGGGUUGGAAUAAGACUGUUUUUAAUUAUAUUUUCUCAACAAAACCUAAGUUGCUUAAGGAUAACAAAGGUAGCUUUCUGAUGUUCACACCAUCCUUGAUAUUGGGAAGUUAGAUAUUUUAUGUUCUACUCAAAAAUAUUUGCAAAUCUAAAAACGUACU